GACAACCAAGAAAACCCAAUACAAUAUUCCAGUUAUUGAUCUACAAGGGAUCGAAGAUGAUCCACGGCGGCAUAAAGAGAUCAGUGACGAAGUCAGGCAUGCAUCAGAGACAUGGGGCUUCUUCCAGAUUGUCAACCAUGGGAUACCUGUAAGUGUUCUUGAAGAUCAUAUUGGUGGUCUCCAAGUACUUCAUGAAGACAAAUGGAUUGAUGUGCCUUGUUCUCCUGGGGCUCUAGUGAUUAACAUCGGUGAUCUUUUACACGUUAAUCCGUUGUCACUCCCGACUCUUUAUUUUCCUUAAAGCACUCAUGUCUAAAACUUAUGUCUUGAAUGCUAGUGAAUAUUUGGGAAAUUUCAACUUAUUUUUUCAGCUUAUUUCGAACGAUGCUUUCGUAAGCGUGGAGCACAGAGUGCUGGCAAACUCGGUCGGACCGAGAGUUUCAGUUUCAGAACUUCGGACCCCAGACUGUACGGUCCUAUCAAGGAACUGUUAUCAGAAGAGAAUCCACCAAAAUACAGGGAAACCACAGUGAGAGAUUAUGCUAUGUACUCCAAUGGAAGAGGGCUUGAUGUUGAUGAUACUUCUCCCUUGCUGCAUUUCAGGUUAUGAUCCCAUGAUAUGAAAUAUGAGCUUUAAGAACUGAAUAAUUUGGUAGAUUUCUUAUGAUUGAAUUGUGUAUUUGGCAUAUCUAGUUUCCUCCAUGUAAUGAAUGUGAUCAUAAUCAAUCAAGAUAAAUAUCGAUAUCGCUUUAUAAUUACUAUUUAAACCUACGAGUUGUUAUUGUAUUAGAUAUAAAUACUAUGAUAUCCUUAAAAUAAAAUAUAUUGGUAUGAUCCAUCAAUCAGGUUCCAACUCAAUUAAGAAAUUAACAAAAAAUUUUAUUUUUUUUACGAAGUAAAAUUAUAUUAUUAUGAACCAAGAACACUAUUAAUAUUGAAUCUUCAAUGUUACAAUUUUAACCAAAGUAUCAUUUAAUUUCUAUAUAAACUUUUAAUACAUUUAUAUAAAUUUUAAAUUAAUCGAGUUGAUAAAUCUUAUUUAAUUUAUUAACUGAAUUUGAUUUAAAUAUUAAAAUCGAAUCAAGUGAAAAUAAAUUUAAAUAAAACUAAAUAAAAAAUUAUUUAAAUUAAUCAAAUUUUCAAAUCAUAUUUUAUCGAUCUCAUUUGAUUUGAAUUUUUAAAUCCAAGUCUUUUGGUUGUAAUAGUUAGAAUUUUUUUGGUCUAGAUAAUGGCAUGUUUGUGGCCAAGUCAACGACGGCUUUGUGGAAAGGUUGCUUCCUUCAUGUCCUAUUAGUAACAUAGACUUUAGUUUGAUCCAAAAUUGCCUUAUUACACUAACAAUUUCAUUCAAAAAUCAACACCAUGGGCUCUUCCGGUGAAUUUCGGGUAGAUUCUAACCCGGACUACGAUCACGAAAGUGAAGUAAAGGCUUUUGAUGAUACAAAAGCCGGUGUGAAGGGAAUAGUAGAUUCAGGUGUCACACAAAUCCCUCGUAUAUUCAUAGAUCAAAGCCUUAUCCUUGAGAAGAAUAACACCGAUUGUUCCAAUAAUCAGCUUGGUGUCCCGAUCAUAGACCUCCAAGGCAUCGGUGGAGACUCGGCUCGCCAUGCCGAGGUGAUUAACCAAGUUCGAAAUGCUUGUGCGGAUUGGGGUUUCUUUCAGGUAGUUCACCAUGGGAUUCCUGCAAGCGUUUUGGAUGAAAUGAUUGAUGGGAUCCGUCGGUUUCAUGAACAAGACACCGAGGUGAAGAAACAGUUCUAUACACGCGAUGCAACUCGCAAGGUGUUGUAUCUAAGCAACUAUGACUUGUAUAAAUCGAAAGCUGCUAAUUGGAGGGACAGUUUGGGUUGUAUCAUGUCUCCUGAUGAUCCAGCUCACCCUGCAGAGUUGCCUCAAGUUUGCAGGUACGUGUUAGUACUAGGCUAUGUUACUCGAAUUCAGUUGUCAGUUGUAUCGUAUAGGUGACAUGUAUUGAGUUUUGUUGCAGAGACAUAGUGAUGGAUUACUCCAAGCAAGUAUUGACAUUGGGGUUCACACUGUUUGAACUGCUGUCUGAGGCUCUUGGGCUCAACCCUGGUUGCCUUAAUGAUUUGGGCUGCGCCGACUUACUGUUUGUAAUGGGACAUUACUAUCCUCCAUGUCCUCAACCAGAACUAACAAUGGGAACCACCAAUCACAAAGACAGUAACAUCAUUACCAUUCUUCUGCAAGAUCAAAUGGGUGGCCUCCAAGUUCUUCAUCACAAUCAUUGGAUUGAUGUCCCUUGCAUACCUGGAGCUUUGAUAGUAAAUGUUGGAGAUCUUCUACAGCUUAUAUCAAACGACAAGUUCAAAAGCGUGAAUCACAGGGUGUUGGCGAAACGAGCAGGGCCUAGAAUAUCAGUGGCAUGUUUUCUGAGAAUGCAAGCGAAUAACAAAGGAAAUGAAUCGAGACUUUAUGGACCAAUCAAGGAACUGUUGUCCGAAAACAAUCCUCCAAUCUACAGAGAAAUCUUGAUCAAGGACUAUCUGUCACAAUACUACUCGAAAGGGCUCAGCGGUAGCGGUUCGCUUUCACAUUUCAAGCUGUCUGAAAAUUAGUCUACGUAAGAUCAUUGCAGGCAAAACUUAAGAGUUGCAGAAGAGAUAAUAGUUCUUAAUUACUUUUUGAAUAAAUUAAAUUUGUAUACAUAUAUGAUGAACAAGUUAAGCACAAGUAUGUUCUGCCUUUGUCCCUGUCCUUACAUUUCUCUGUUUUUAAUCUUUAUGAAGAAAAAAUAGUGUAUAGUGAAGAGCAUGGGACCAAGCAGCUAUCACUGCUAUCAUCGUUUUCGACGUGGCUGAUUAAUAAACAAAUUUCCAUCCUUUUCUGAAUCGUUUUUUUUAGAAAUUGAAUAAAAAGAAUUGAUUAAUUAUAAAAAUGAUUCAUGUGUAAAAUUGAAUUAUCUAUUUUAUAUAGUGACUAUUAGUGCCGCUAACUUGACCGGCGGUAUCAUCCCUCAUCAUUACCCAAUGAUUAUCUAUUUUAAAAAAAUAAUUGUUUUUGUGCUACCACUGUGUCUAAUGACACCGGUAUGUAUGUAUGUGUUUUCUUAAAUAAUUGGAAGGAAAAAAAUUAAUAUUUUAAUAGCCGUCGUUGUCUUUCUAGCGGCAGUGGAGAAAUUUUUUUUUAAAGUAUCAAAUAAAAAGUCAAUAUACUUUUUGGUGCCGCCAUUCUUCUUGGUGGCACUAGUGUCUUUUUUAAAAAAAUAAUUUUUUAUGUCGUUGGUCUAUUAGGUAACCCUGUUAAAAUUUUUAAAAAAUUCAAUAAUAUGAACAUUAAAAAUCUUGACAAAACUCAUUGAAAAAUUUCAUUGCAACGUUAAAGAAGUGAGAAGUAAAACAAGACAAAACCCACAAAAAAUAAACAUAGAAAAGAAAUAUAUACCUAGAAAAGUUUAUUUUGCAAGAGUAGAGUAAUGAAGUCAAAACUUUGAAAUCUUCACUCUUUUAAGAAAAUAUGUUGAGAAUGAAAAUUUAAGAAAAAUUGAAAGUUUGUUUCAAAAUAAAACUUCUUAUUGAAUAUUUCAACAGCAUAUAAAGUUGAACCUAAUUUUAUUAUAAAAAUAAUUAUUAUAAUUCUAUUCAAUGUUUUGUAAGUUAAACACAUUUAAAAUAUUUUAACUUUUAAUCUGUGUGUAGAUUCUCAAGAUAAUAUUUUAGAAUAAAUUACUUGUAUUGAGAAUUAAAAUAUUGUCUCAAGAAUCUACAUAUAGAUUAAAAGUCAAGAUAAUUUAAAUGAGCUUAACUUAUAAGAUACUGAAUAGAACUAUAAAGGAUACAAGGAUACAGGAGUAUGGUUCUUGGAUGGUAGUUGAUCUGUGUUCAAGGAGAGCUAAUCGGAGUAAAGGCUCUGACAAGGAUGACAAGGUAAGUGCAAAUCUUCAGGGAUCCCGAUUUCAUGCUCUGCAAGAUUUAAGGGAAAAUGAAUUAGGGAAUGUGCAGAUUUCUAAGUGUGGAAUUAUUGCUAAAUCUAAGGGAAAAGGUUCGGCCGUUUAUGAUAAUCCAUUGGGGUGGGUGAUUCAAUUAUGGAUCGUGACAAUGGGAAGGGAUUUGGGUCGUGUUGAUUUGUUAAGGCCUCUGAGAUUGUCAACAGGAAAGGCCGCGUCUUUGGGGACUCGUUUAAUAGGUCUAGCGGGUCCACUGUUAAUUCUGCUAUUGAUAAGGGAAUGGGCCAGAUUAGGAAUGAUUUGUUUCCUUUAGUUAAUUCAGGGGUUAAUGCCCAACUUGAAGAUAAGGGAACUUCGUUGCAAGAUAACACUUCAUGACAAAUUGAACGGACGACGAUGGGGGGUCUAGUUUGUUGGUGGAAAAAAUCAUGAGGACCACGCUUAAUGUGGAUAAUCAUUCUGUGGAAAAAAAUGUGAUUGUUACAACUAUUAAAAAAGAUUUUUUUAAAAUGUAUACAACUUUUUCAAUAAAAGGUGGCUAUUACAACUUUAUUUCAUACAACUUUUUCAAUAAACGAUGGCUGUUACAUCUUUAUUUCAAGGUUAAAAGUGUCUUAAUUACAACUAAUAGAAAAUAUUUUAAAUUUAUUUAUUUUGUCUAAACCUGUGUACAUCAAUCACAUUUUUCCUUAUAAUAAUCACUUUUUUCUUUUAAAUUAAAUUGAUCAUUUAUCAGCUUUAUUAUAGAGGAAGAGAUGUUGUUGGAGAAGAAAAAGAAGAAAAAGGGAGGAGCUUUAUUACGAGAUUUUAGUAAUAGUGAUGAUGUUUCUUCUUCUUUGUCCUCACACUUUUUUACUCCACGAUGAAAUUGUAUUUCUUUUUGAUACACUAGAUCCAGGUUUUUAUUCUAGAGAAUGGAUGACAAAUUUUUUUUUUUUAAAUUUUGGUGCCACAUGAUAGAACGGCAACACAGAAAAAAAAAUAUUUUUUAAAAUUUAUUCAUUGCAACCAUAGAGGUCUGCCACCCAUUAAAAAAUAUUUUUUAAAAAAUCUCUAGUGUCGCCAAAGAGGUCGAUGACACCAAUUAAUUUUUUUUUCUUUUUCUUUUUCCUCCUAGAAUACUCAUAUUUUUUUUUCAAGAAUGUAAAAAAAAUACAUACUGGUGCCACUGGACAUAAUGGCGACACUCAAAAAUAUAUAUUUUUUAAAAGAAUGAUGAUUGCCUGAUGAUGAGGGGGUGAUGUCACCAAUGGGUAUAACGAUAUCAGCGUGUACUGUAGAAAACAAAUCAUUCUCGUACAAGAUUUUGGUCUUGAGUUAUUUUCGUAAUUAAUUAUUUUAUUUGGGUCAAUUUAAAUAAAAAAAUUAAAUAAACCUCAAAACCCAAACAUGAAUUUGAUAAAAAAACAGAUUUUUUUAUUUUAAAAAUCGAAUUUAGAGAUGAGAUGGAACAAAUUAGUUUAUCGUUAAAAAUUUUGAGGUUAGGUCAGGAUCAAGUUUAAGAAAAAUUAUCUUACUCUGUUAUGAUAUAUUUACAAAACACAUCUCUUUGAAUUUUUUUCUUUUGGUAAGGAGAACACACUCCUAAUAUCUAAGAAUGGACAACACUCGAGUUCCUCUCAUAUAAGUGAUUUUGACUAUCCUCUUCAAGCAGCCUUAUUACAUACUUUGGUGGACCUGAAAACAUUACUAUCUGAUUAAACUUCCCUGUUACCACCCUUGCCAGACAAUUAGCAACCUUAUUACUUCCUCGCCACACAUGCCAAAACCUCACUUUCUAAUCCUUCUUACACCAUCCAUAAAUUAACCGGACUUCUAUAAUGUUACUAAUAGAUACAAACCCCUUACAAAUAGUAUUCAUAAGCAUCGCAUUAUCACAAUUAAUCUCAACCUGUUUAUACCCUUCCACCCAAGCUAGCUUCAUCCCCUCAAUAACCGUUCGUGCCUCAAUCCUGAAGAUUUCAUCCAUCUCUGUUACCAUAUUAAAGCCCGUCAGCCUCUUCCCAUUCGAGUACCGUAUAGCACCUGCGAUCCUUGCUUUGGAGUUAUUAAUUGAAACAGAGCCGUCAACAUUAAUCUUGACCCAUCCUGACUCAGGGCGUUGCCACCUUUGUUUAGUUUUAAAAGAGCAAGCCAGAUAAGAUAUCUUGGUGCCGAGACCACACGACUUCGUCAGGCAAGAGCCGAUGCAAUGAGAUCAUGACUACUUCUACUAGAACUUUUGAAAAUAAAGUCAUUGCGACUUUUCCAAAUGAAUCAAGUCACUAUUGAGAAAAGGGUCGACCAUUCACCACUAUCAACAUUAAGCAUCCCUUUAUUCAAUAUAUUCUAGAGUACUCAUUCCCGAAUAUUAAGAUUAAAAAAGACACUCCACACAUUCCUCGGCAAUACAUGCUUCCAUACCAAUUGAGAAAAAUCACAAUCUCUCACAGCAUGAAGAGCAGACUCAUACGACUUGCCACACUGUUCACAAAAAGGAGAGAAAGACAUAACUCGUCGUACUCGUUCCGCAUUUGUUAAGAUCUUAUUCCAAACAAGCAACCACAAGAACGUCUUAAAUCUUUGAGGAGUUUUCAAUUUCUAGAUGACUUCAUCAUCUUCAAGUUGACCGGAUACGAUGGGACCACAAAUAUGCUUGUAUGACUGUAACAGCCCAAAUUUCAGUGAUAUCGGAAUAGUGAUUUGAAAUCACUAAAUCUGACAUGUGAGUUUAGAUAUUAGUAAGUAAAUGUUAAGUCUGGUUUUAGAAAUAAUUUUGAAUUAAAUGAAAUUAUGUAGUAUAGGAAGUUGUAGAUAAAACAGAAUAAAAACGAGGUAUCAAGACCUCGAAUUCAUAAAUCGAGCCAUAAAUAUUUUUAAAAAUAUUUAUGGAGUGUAAAUAAGUUUAGUAAUGCUUCGUGCUCGACUCCGGCGACUGUCUCGGGUAAGGGGGCGUUACAAUGACUCUCGCAUAGAAAAUUUCCUAACGGACAUCCACCUCCACGAAAGAUGAUCCACUCCUGAUCCCCUUAAAGGAGGGUUACAAGAUUGUAUUCGAUUAACCACCUUUCUAGGAAGGACUGUUAAGAGCCAAGUGGAGUUCCAAUCCCCUUCUGCGUUUAACACAUCACAAACACAAAUGGAUUCAUCAAGAACGCCACUCCCAUUGAAUUGGGAUUUAAGAGGCCCCAAAUCGUGAAUCCAGACGUCGUUCCAGAAAAUAACAAUUUGCCCAUCCUGAAUCAUCCAAACGAGUCCCUUCUUUACUUCAUCCUAGACCUUCACAAUGGAUUUCUAGAUGUAAGAACGGUUACUUUGAUGUAAAUCAUUAGGUAUGAUCCCAUGUAUAUUAUAUUUGCUCUUAAGAAUCCUUACCCAUAAUGUAUCCAUGUUUGUCACCAAACUAAAGUCCAAUUUUAAAAUAAAUAACAUAUCUUGAUCAUGCAACCGUCGAACACCAAGACCACAUUUAUCUACUGGUCUACAUACAUCACUCCAACUUACAAGAGCUACCAAUCUCCUUUCAUUGUUAGAACCCCAUAGGAAAGACCGAACUACCUUCUCAAUUUCCUUACAAAUUGUAAUUGGAAUUCGAGCUGCUGUCAUAAAAUAAUUUGGAAUCGACAACAAGACCGACUUUACCAACGUGAGCCUUCCAGCGAAGGAUAGUUUUCGAGCAUCCCAACCAUUAAGACAGUUCUGAACUUUAUCCAGAACAAAGGAGAAAGUAUUCCUCCCAACCCUAUGAUGAAAAAGCGGCAUACCAAGAUAAAAUCCCAAAUCCUCUACUCUAGUGAAACCCAAAUUGGUGCUUAUUUCAUUAGCAACCACCUCUGACACAUUGCUUGAAAAAAAAACCUGUGUCUUUUGUCUAUUAACUUUAUGGCCAAAGAACCAACAGAAACUCUCCAACACCUUCCUAAGGCAGUCUGUUCCUUGACUCGUAGCUCUACCAAAACGUAAAAGAUUGCCGAAAAAAAAGAGAUGAGAGAUGUCCGGUCCUCGUCGUGAAAGCUUAAUUGGUUCCCAAACCCUUUUUUCAGCCUAAUUCUCAAUAAAAUGACCCAGGCGCUCCAUGCCAAGAACAAUUAAAUAGGGAGAUAGCGGAUCCCCUUGAUGCACACCUCUAGAUGGGCUAAAUUCUUCUGAGAGAGAACCAUUCCAGAGUAGUUGUAAAGUAGAUGAUGAAAUAUAGUGCAUAAUAGUUCGCACUAUUGUUGCCGGCAAACCAACGUCAUGCAAAGUAUCCUCAAGAAAAUCCCACCAGAUCCUGUCAUACGCCUUCUCAAGAUCCACUUUGACUACCAUCCACCCUUUUUUACUCUUUGUGGUCUUCAUGGAAUGAAUAAUUUCCUGUACUAUGAUUAUAUUGUCCGAAAUGUUCCGUAAAGCAAUAACACUUGAUUGGUUUUGCUUAACCAGCGUUUGCAUAGCUUGUCGGAGGCGAAUUACAAUCGUCUUGGUGAUUAUCUUGUACAAUACAUUGCACACACUAAUGGGACGGAAUUGAUUGAUUGUUUCAGCUCCAAAAAACUUGGGGAUAAGCACUAAGAGGGUCUUCUUAACCCUUGGAUCCAAUCAUUCUCCCAAGAAAACAUGUUUGACUAGAUUAAACACACUGACCCCUACAACCUCCCAAUUGGCUUGGUAAAAUUUAGCGUGAAAGCCGUCCACCCCAGGUGCCUUAAGAGGAUUCAUGCUAAAAACAGCCCGACGAACCUCUUCUUCAGUGACCUCAGCCAAUAAGUCUGUUAUGACAUUCGACUUGAGUCUCGAGAAACGCCCACGUACAGGAAAACUCCCUGUCAAAUAACUAUCCACUGUAUACAGCUUGGAGAAAUAAUCUGUCGCAUGCCUCCGUAGCAUAUCGUUAUCAAAACAUCAUUCAGACCCUUCAAUUAGUAGAGCUUCAAUUUUAUUUUGUCGCCUUCGCUUUACUGUGCGAUUGUGAAAAAAAGCAGUGUUUCGAUUUCCAUUCAAAGGCCAUUCACUUUGAGAUUUUUGAAACCAAAGUAGUUCUUCCUGAUUUAAAAUGUGUUCUAACUCAAGUCGAAUUUCGGAUUCUCUAAAACUAAGUUUAGUGUUGUAUCUUCUUUCCAAAGCCCUUUACAUCUGCUCAAGUUCUCUCAACUUCAUCUUUUUCUUGUCAAAGAUAUUACCAAACAUAGACUUGUUCUAAACCUAUAUUGACUUCGAAAAAACCUCAAGAUUUUGCAUAAUGCCAUUGUCAGAACUCUAACAUUGUCAGAACUCUAACCCUUCGCAAUACAUCCUUGAAUUCGGGAUGAGACAACCAACUUGCUAGGAAACGAAAAGGUCAAGUUUCAUUUUCAACCUUUUCCGGAUUCAUGGAGACCAUCAAGGGACAAUGAUCAGAUUUUAACUUAUAAAGGUGUCGAACUAUGGUAUUAGGAGCAAAAGUUUGCCACUCACUAUUGCAGAAAGCCCAACCAAGUCUCGGGAAAAGUUGCCCCUUACUCUACGUAAAUUUUGGUCCUCGGAAACCCAAAUCAAAGAAACCAUGGUUACAAAAAAAAAUUCCUAAAUCGAGAACAUUCGAUUUUACUAUUAAUAGCUCCACAUUGGCGUUCAUCAGCACUCAUAACCACAUUGAAGCCACCUGCCAAAAUCCAAGGUUCAUUAAUUCCAGUAGCUAAGAGAUCAAGUUCUUCCGAUAACUGAGUCCUUAAGCCUGAGUGGGGACUUACAUAAACUGCUGUACAUAGGAAAGGUCUGCAGCACCUUCGGUCCCGGAUUCGCACAUGAAUAAAUUGAAGAUGUGCCUCAAAAAAUUCCACACUCGAGCCCUCAUUCCACAAUAACCAAAUGCCACCAGCAAACCCUGUUGCUUCUACUCUAAAAGAGUAAUCAAACCCCAAGUUAGCAAUCACAACUUCAGCCCGAGCACCACUUAUUCUAACUUCAAACAUAGCAACGAAAUCUAAUCUAAACUCUCUAAAAUAUUCUUUCAACAUCUUAUUGAAACGUGGAUGACCACAACCUUGGAAAUUCCAAAACAGAAACCAAAAAUCUGCUGUCAUAAAAUCUAAAAUAAAAGGAAUAGAGGAAAGCGCUUACCUCGAACUCAAACUCUAUCAGCAUCCUUCAGAGACUCAUCAUUUGAAGCAUCGCCCACCACCACAUCAGCCCCUUUAUCAGGGUUUUCACCCACGUGACUAUGUAACCCAUAGAUAAUUCCCUCACUGCUUCCACAACCGGUAUCGAUGGCUCAAAAUUAAAAUUCGAAUAGGGAGGUUCUUGCCCAGUAUUUUCCCCCAUCUCUCUUCCAUUUCGUUCAUUUGAUUGUUGGCCUGAAUUCUCCCCUGUACGAAUUAAAAAGUUAGAAGGCCUAUUUUUCUGGGCACUCGUACCUACUGCGUUCUUCCUUUCACUGGAGGGAAAAAUCACUGCCAUGUUUUCUCCCCAUCUAAUUUUGGGCCUGCUGCUUGAAAAUGAAAUUUCCCCAUGUUUUCCCCAAGUAGAAUGGGUCUCAUCUUAGAUCCAUCAUCAAAUGGAUUCUUAGCCAGGCUAGAGGAAGGCCGACUAAUAGAGUUAGAUGGUUUCGAAAUCUUACGGCCAACUUUCAGCCUACCCUCUAGCAUUGGACUCUUCCCCUUAUUAAGGGAUUUAUUCUUGCUCCUAUUCCUCCCACUGACAUUAACAACAAAUUGUCGUUUAUUUAAACUUUCUCUCUUAUCGUCCUUAAUUCGCGCCCUAUCGUCCUCUAUUUGUACUUUAUCAAGCUGAAUCGAAUCUCCCACAUUAAUGUCUUGAGCAAAAUCCCCCACAUCAUCGCCCAGAUUCUCACAUAACAAAACAAAUCUAGACCCUUUACUCUCGCCGGCCAUCGUAUCUCGAGCUGAUUUUUUCGGGAUCGAUCGGACUCCUUUCCUAUGCUUCCGUUCAAGUAGCAUCCAAGGACCAUAUCUGCCCUCCUCAACACACUUUGGGCUUGCAGACACCUCCUCCUCCGCAUACUGUACCUUCUCCUUAUCCGAUCUAAAAGAGUAAAUCUCUCUACUGUGCCGAUAUCUUCCACAAUCGAAGCAUACUACAGGUAAGGACUCGUAUUCCACACGUUGGAUCCUACCAUUAAUUAAGAUCUUAGACACUAGCGGCUGAUCCAAGUUAACAUAAAUCGCAAUUCGGGCAAAUUGUCCUCUAGCUCUAUUGUCAGUAUUCUAAUCUAUUCUAGCGACCGGGCCAAUCACCCACCAAUAAAUUUUAGUAGACUUGAGGUAUACAUCCCUUCUGGUAAGCCAGGGAGCCUAACCCAAACCAACAGAUUGUUGGGUUGCGCUUGGUCAGUUGAGAAGCUCCGUGACCAUGGCCUAACCAUUAAGUAAUGACAAAAGAUUGUCCACGGUUCUCCCGAAAUUGUAGCAAUGUAUUCACUCUCGUUUUGAAAACGAACUGAAAAAAAUCAUUCUCCAAGUCAAGGGCCUUUAAUGCUUGAUUCGUUUUUCAUAUCACUUGGAGUUUAUUCGACAUGGCGUGGUAAGAAAUCUUUCGACCCAGAAGUUUCACAAUCACUGUCUUGGCCAUUCGCUGGGCAAUGAAAUUAUGAACACGUUCAGAGAAAGUAAUUGAAGGUAUGCCAUCAAUCACCUCCUUUGAAACAUCACCAUCAUUCAACUUGAAAUCUUCCUUAUCCUUAGAAGGUCCAUUGAUCUCAACCUGGCCUAAUAGAUUGUCUUUCCAUGAAACAGAGGAUUCCCCCCCUGAUAAUACCGUCCUACCCUGCUCAUCCAUAAUAGGAUCAUUAGGAUUAAGAGGUUCAUUCGACCUCAUUCGGAUUUUCUUUGUAGCGCGUCCCAAAGAAACACCAGAGACCAAAACUCCGUCGGACAUGCUUUUUUUACUGCUCUUACAUCUCUUUUAAUUUUAUAACUAUUUUCCUGUUUUUAAUUAUAAUUCCAUAUGUACAGCUCAAUUAUUGCCCGGGCCCAAUUGGCAGAGCCCAAACGGCCCAAUAAGCCCAACCGGCCCCAAACCUAGUCAGACUAGGGCGGAAACCCUAGCCAAGCCUAGCGCCGUGCCCAUCCCUCUGCCAUCGCUUUGUCCCAUCGCCACCCACCUGCUCCACCGCCUUGCAAACGUUGCCCACACGCCACCACCAACUCCUCUGGCACCUGCAAUCAAAAGAAAAAGAACAGAGCAGAGCAAGGCAGCAAGCAACAGUAGCCACAUUUUCUUAAUAUUGUAAUCGGCUAUAAAGCCUAAAGGAGAUCAGUUUGUAAAAGGGGGGGAACCGGAUCAAUACAGAAGCAAAUAUAAAAACAAAAAACAAAAAAGGUUGACUCCAAAUUUUUCUGUUCUUGCAUUUUUAGUGUUUGUUUUCUACCUUUCCUGUUCUUGCAUUUUUGUUUAUUUUAUUCUAUUUUGUUGUUUGCUUGCUACUCUUUUAACAAAACGGAAAAAGAAGGGAAAGGAAGCACUUACCGGUCUCGAAAGCCGUCGCCGGAGACUUUCGGUGUUGGAAUCGGACCGAAAAGGAAGUGAAAGAUCCCUCCUUUCUUGGCUUUUUCGAUCAAGAGAAUAGGGCCUCUGAUCUAGAUCUAAAGUGGGGUCCAAAAGGCUGAUCUUUACCUAGAUCCGACUACCGCCUGCGACGGCGCGGCCGUUCGCCGGUGGUGACCACGGCCGGAGGAGGGAAAGGUCUUAAAAAAGGGGAAGGGUUCUGUUUUUUUUUUGUUUUUAAAACAGUGACAGAAAUGAUUUUUAAAAAAGGAUUUGGGUUUUAAUAACCAUUGCAAAACGGUGCCGUUUAAGCCCCAUGACCCGCGCGCGAUCCGACCCGCUCCAGGGGGAUCCGCGUGCUUUCAUGAAAUGGGCUAUUUGUGCAAUAGGUCCCUCCGCUUUUGCAAUUUGCUUCAAUGUGGUCUUUUGUUUUUCUCAGAUUUUGGCCUGUGGAUUUUGCUUCUAUUCCGAUUUGGUCCUUAGACCAAUUGCUGCCCAUGGUUGAAACGCAGCGUUUCAGGACGGGGAAAUAUUUCCCCACAAGUCCCUCACGCUUUAAGCGUGUUUCACUUUGGUCCUGUAUUAUUCCUUUUGUUUAUUUCAUAUUCAAGCCCCGAAGUUCGUUUAAAGUUUUAAUUUAGCCCUUUGUAUUUUGUUUGUUUUCUUAUUAAAUAAUAAAUUUGAUGUCAUACUGUUAUCAUUAAUUAUUAUUGCUGUUAUUUGUUUAUUUAUAUCUUUAAAAUUUCAAAUUUUAUCAUAUAUAUAUAUAUGUAUAUACUUAUUUUCGUAUUUGUUUUAUAUUUCAUAAUUUGUAUCUAUAUAUCUAUAUACAUUUUUUUUCUAAAUAUAUACGCAUACUUGUAUGUUUUUACAUCUUCAUAUAGUUUUCUAUACAUACAUAUUCCUACGUACGCAUACACACAUUUUUAUACUUUAAAAUUUUAACUUACCUAAAUAUGUAUUAUAUGAUAAUUUUAAAAUAUGUACAUGCAUAUAUUUUUCAUAUUUUCAUAAUUUUAUGUAUAUACACUCAUGUAUAUGUUUUAUAUUUUAUAGUUUAUAUAUUUUCUUUGUUUGUUUUUAUUAUUUAUUUAUUUAUUUCAUUUCCAUUAUUAUUUUGAGUGAAUGUUUAACUUUAUUCGUUUAUAUACAUGGUUAUUUUAGUAUGUUAUAGAUCUGACUUUUUAUUUUUUUUUUUUUAUUGUUGCUAUUGCUCAUAUCACUUUUAUAUUUUUGUAUUCAUUUUAAUUUUGCCAUGCAUAACAACAAUGCAAUUUGCUUUCACAUUUUUUACUUGAAAUAAUAUUUCGUGUUUAGAUUCGAAAGGAUCGCACCCUAAUUUACUGGGUUUCGAUUUUCAUAAUAAAUCUAAAUACACGAAUCUUUUCAAACUCAAAUUUUUAAACGAUCUCGGGAAUUAAGAAAAGAUCGUGCCCUAACUUACUGGGCCUGAUUUAUUUCUAAAACCAAGAUAAUAAAAUAUCUUUUAAAUAAGCAUUUUUUAUCCGCGUAUAAGGGAUUUGAGACAUUGUGUCCUACCUUACUGGAUAUGAUUCUCUUUCUCGAAUAAUGUGAAAUAUCUCCUUUUUCCUGAAAAUUUUCAACGUUUUAAUACCAGGAUCGUAUUUUUAAAAUUCUUCAAGGUUCUCAAUUUUUGACAUUAAGACAUUAAGUAAUCAUCUAGGUACCAAUUUUGGGCGUAUCGAGGGUGCUAAUCCUUCCUCGUGCGUAACCGACUCCCGAACCCGUUUUCUAGAUUCCGUGGACCGAAACCGUUGUUUUAAUAAAAUCAAAUCAUUUAUUAAAAACAACCCUUUUUUUUGAGGUGAUCCAAUCACACCUCAUAAAAAAAAAGAGAUUGGUGGCGACUCCCUAUUUUUGUUUUCAUUUCCAAAAUCAAAAUUGACCCCGUUUUUCAUCCAAAAAAAUGGUGUCAACACCAUAAUUUUAUAAUAUAACUAACAUAUAUUGUAAUUUUAUAAAUAUUAUUAAUUUUUUAAGGUUUUAUAAUGCAUGGUUUAAUUUUGUAAAAUUUAAUAUAUUAUAAAAUAUUAUUUAAAAUUUCGGAGCAUGGGACCAAGCAGCUAUCAUCGGUCUUAUCGUUUUCGACGUGGCUGAUUACCAUCCGCAUUACUGAUAAACAAAUUUCCAUGCUUUUUAACUUCAUUUGUCAUUCUCAGAAAAUUUCAAAUGCUUUUGUUACAUUAAAACGGAAGGAACAAAACACAGUGAAAAAAUGGUGGUCACCAGUGGAGCUGAAGUUCAUGAUGAUUCCAACAACUACGACAGAGAAAAAGAACUGAAAGCAUUCGACAAUUCAAAAGCCGGUGUCAAAGGUCUGGUAGAUGCUGGAAUCACUAAGGUUCCUCGUAUGUUCAUCCGUUCAGACAUUUCAUCGAACACUUUAGAGACAACCAAGAAAACCCAAUACAAUAUUCCAGUUAUUGAUCUACAAGGGAUCGAAGAUGAUCCACGGCGGCAUAAAGAGAUCAGU
rnacentral:lncRNA from 1 species